UACGUAGGUGGCAAGCGUUGUUCGGAAUUAUUGGGCGUAAAGGGCGCGUAGGCGGCAUGUUAAGUCGGCUGUGAAAGCCUGGGGCUCAACCCCAGAGGGUCGGCCGAUACUGGCAAGCUAGAGUACGGAAGAGGUAGCUGGAAUUCCCGGUGUAGCGGUGAAAUGCGCAGAUAUCAGGAGGAACACCGGUGGCGAAGGCGGGUCUCUGGGCAUUAACUGACGCUGAGGAGCGAAAGCAUGGGGAGCGAACAGG
rnacentral:rRNA from 1 species